UGGACUACACGGGUUUCUAAUCCUGUUUGCUCCCCACGCUUUCGUGCAUGAGCGUCAGUCUCAUCCCAGGGGGCUGCCUUCGCCAUCGGUGUUCUUCCACAUAUCUACGCAUUUCACUGCUACACGUGGAAUUCCACCCCCCUCUGACAAACUCUAGCCGUGCAGUCACAAAUGCAGUUCCCAGGUUAAGCCCGGGGAUUUCACACCUGUCUUGCACAACCGCCUGCGCACGCUUUACGCCCAGUAAUUCCGAUUAACGCUCGCACCCUACGUAUUACCGCGGCUGCUGGCACAC
rnacentral:misc_RNA from 1 species